UACAGAGGGGGCAAGCGUUGUUCGGAAUUACUGGGCGUAAAGGGCGCGUAGGCGGCCUGCUAAGUCGAACGUGAAAUCCCUGGGCUCAACCCAGGAACUGCGUCCGAUACUGGUUGGCUUGAAUCCGGGAGAGGGAAGUGGAAUUCCCGGUGUAGUGGUGAAAUGCGUAGAUAUCGGGAGGAACACCAGUGGCGAAGGCGACUUCCUGGCCUGUUCUUGACGCUGAGGCGCGAAAGCUAGGGUAGCAAACGGG
rnacentral:rRNA from 1 species